UGCAGGUGAGAAGGAGACCCAGGGUCAGGCUGCAUAAACACAUUCACAGAAGGUGACACAAGUUCAUAAGAUGGGAUCAGAGCACCCCAGCCAGGAGCUACCCCACCAGGUUCCAGAUGCUACCAUGAUGCCAGCCUGACUUCCCUGGGCAGAGGACCCCACUAAUAUGUCCUGGAACCCUGCCUCCCCAGAGCCUUCCUCCACUUGAGAAAGAGAGAGACAGGCUGGGAGUAUGGAUUGACCUGUCAACGUCCAUGCUCAAUGGAGAAGCAAUUACAGAAGCCAGACCUUCCAUCUUCUGCACUCCAUAAUGAUCCUGGGUCCAUACUCCCAGAGGGGUAAAGAACAGAAAAUCUUUCAAGGGAGAGUAUGAGAUAUGGAGUUUUGGUGGUGGGAAUUGUAUAGAAUUGUACCCCUCUAAUCCUAUGGUCUUUUCAAUAUUUCUAUUUUAUAAAUAAAAGUUAAAUAAACAUG